AGUGAACGCUGGCGGUAGGCCUAACACAUGCAAGUCGAACGGCAGCACAGUAAGAGCUUGCUCUUACGGGUGGCGAGUGGCGGACGGGUGAGGAAUACAUCGGAAUCUACUUUUUCGUGGGGGAUAACGUAGGGAAACUUACGCUAAUACCGCAUACGACCUACGGGUGAAAGCAGGGGAUCUUCGGACCUUGCGCGAUUGAAUGAGCCGAUGUCGGAUUAGCUAGUUGGCGGGGUAAAGGCCCACCAAGGCGACGAUCCGUAGCUGGUCUGAGAGGAUGAUCAGCCACACUGGAACUGAGACACGGUCCAGGCUCCUACGGGAGGCAACAGUGGGGAAUAUUGGACAAUGGGCGCAAGCCUGAUCCAGCCAUACCGCGUGGGUGAAGAAGGCCUUCGGGUUGUAAAGCCCUUUUGUUGGGAAAGAAAAGCAGCAGGUUAAUACCCCGCUGUUCUGACGGUACCCAAAGAAUAAGCACCGGCUAACUUCGUG
rnacentral:rRNA from 1 species